UACGUAGGAGGCAAGCGUUGUCCGGAUUUACUGGGCGUAAAGCGCGCGCAGGCGGCAUGGCAAGUAAGGUGUGAAAUCUCCCUGCCUAACGGGGAGGGUGCAUUUUAGACUGCCAAGCUAGAGGACGGUAGAGGGGGGGUAGAAUUGCUGGUGUAGCGGUGAAAUGCGUAGAGAUCAGCAGGAAUACCCGUGGCGAAGGCGGCCCCCUGGGCCCGAACCUG
rnacentral:rRNA from 1 species